rnacentral:rRNA from 1 species
UGGGAAUAUUGGGCAAUGGGCGAAAGCCUGACCCAGCAACGCCGCGUGAGGGAAGAAGGUUUUCGGAUUGUAAACCUCUGUCCUUGGUGACGAAGGAAGUGACGGUAGCCAAGGAGGAAGCCCCGGCUAACUACGUGCCAGCAGCCGCGGUAAUACGUAGGGGGCGAGCGUUGUCCGGAAUGACUGGGCGUAAAGGGCGCGUAGGCGGCUUGGUAAGUUAGAGGUGAAAGUCCAGCUUUCAAGGUUGGAACUGCCUUUAAUACUGCUGAGCUUGAGUGCGGAAGAGGUAAGUGGAAUUCCCAGUGUAGCGGUGAAAUGCGUAGAGAUUGGGAG